rnacentral:rRNA from 1 species
GAGUUGUAAUUUGGAGAGGAUGCUUCGGGCAAGGCUGCGGUCCAAGUUUCUUGGAACAGAACGUCAGAGAGGGUGAGAGUCCCGUCCCGGGCCGUCCCCGCGCCCGUGUGAAGCUCCUUCGACGAGUCGAGUUGUUUGGGAAUGCAGCUCCAAAUGGGUGGUAAAUUUCAUCUAAAGCUAAAUACCGGCCAGAGACCGAUAGCGCACAAGUAGAGUGAUCGAAAGAUGAAAAGCACUUUGAAAAGAGAGUUAAAAAGUAUGUGAAAUUGUUGAAAGGGAAGCGCUUGCGGCCAGACUUGGGCGCGGUGGCUCCCCCGGCCUUCUGGCCGGGCCACUCUGUCGCGCCCAGGCCAGCAUCGGUCCGGGUGGUCGGUCAAAGGCCCCGGGAACGUACCUUGUCUCCGGGCAAGACUUACAGCCCGGGGCGUCAUGCGACCCACCCGGACCGAGGGACGCGCUCCGGCUCGGAUGCUGGCGUAAUGGUUGUAAGCGGCCCGUCUUGAAACACGGACCAAGGAGUCUAAAAUCCAUGCGAGUGUUAGGGUGUCAAACCCCGGCGCGCAAUGAAAGUGAACGGAGGUAAGAGCCCCUGAGGGCGCAUUAUCGACCGAUCCUGAAGUCUUCGGAUGGAUUUGAGUAGGAGCAUGGCUUUUGGGACCCGAAAGAUGGUGAACUAUGCCUGGAUAGGGUGAAGCCAGAGGAAACUCUGGUGGAGGCUCGCAGCGGUUCUGACGUGCAAAUCGAUCGUCGAAUUUGGGUAUAGGGCGAAAGACUAAUCGA